rnacentral:lncRNA from 1 species
ACACAAGAGAAGUGCCCCAAGAGAGCACUAGAGAGGUGUGUGGCACUCCGAUGAACAAAACAGAGUGGAGAUCGGGUACGCGGGUUCUGCUUCAGAUCCAAAAAACCCUUGGUGCCCACCCUAGAAUCUGGCCGGGGCAUCCACAGACCUGGUGUGUUCCCUCUGUGCACACUUGUGACUCACACCCCUGCGAGCUCGGAUAACACGAAGACACACCUGUUGCAGAGCGUUAAAGCUGGAAGGUGGACAAACAGGGCGGGGCCCGGCACCCGACUUCCCCUUAGGCCAGAACAAAAGAACAAAGCCCUCCAAGGGAUCAGGGCGGGACCGCCCCGCACAGAAGGAGGCGAGGUGCGCCCCCUUCGAGGACUCCCCAGCUUUCUCCUGCAGAGGCCUCUAAGCGCGAAAUCAGAAGGGUGACGUCACGAGUCCGGAGGGCUGGCUGUUGCCAUGGUGAUACCUGAGCUCCCCUCCCCCUAUAGCGAUCCACACACUCUGAUCCCGGGUCCGGAAGCGCAUUGACCGCCACCAGACCUAACGCAGGGAGCCGAAGCAACUGGACUUCCAGCGCGCCAACCUCUUUCCACGCCUACAACCGGCUUCAACGGUCACUUCCGGUCGUUACGAGCGAGCCCCGCCCCGCACGCCGGCGCCGGGCGGGCACACUGGACCAGCGUUCCCAGAACACUCCGCGAAGGUGUUCCUGAACUUCAUUUCCCAGAGGCUUUAGCUAACGUGUACUUUCGCCCUGCGAUGGGCCGCACAUUUUCGCCGCCAGUCUUUUGCUCCUGUUUCAGGUAUGCGUGUGCAUUGUAAACUUGUCUGACUGAACUGAUUAUAAGAAAUGCACGUCUACUGACCGAGCGCAGUGGCUCACGUCUGUAAUCUGAGCACUUUGGGAGGCCGAGGUGGGUGGAUCACUAGGUCAGGAGUUCGAGACUCAGCCUGGCCAAUAUGGUGACACCCCGUCUCUACUAAAAAUACAAAAAUUAGCCGGGCGUGGUGGCGCGCGCCUGUAGCUACUCAGGAGGCAGAGGCAGAAGAAUCGCUUGAACCCGGGAGGAAGAGGUUGCAGUCAGCCGAGAUCGCGCCACUGCACUCCAGCCUGGGCGGCAGAGCGAGACUCCGUCUCAAAAAAACAAAACAACAAAAAAAAAAAAAAGAAAGAAAGAAAAGAAAAAAAAGAAAUACACGUCUACACACAGUUUUAAAACGCAAACAAUCGUUACCUUUAUUACAUGUUCUACCUUCUAUUUUCUGUUCUACUCUUUUGUCGUUUUGAAAAUACUGGUAGUUACCCAUUAAAAUUGUUUUCACGACUCUCAAAUGAGUGGCGACCAACUUUUUUUUUUUUUUUUUUUUUUUUGAGACGGAAUCUAGCUCUGUUGCUCAGGCUGGAGUGCAAUGGCGCGAUCUCGGCUCGCUGCAACCUCCACCUCCCGGGUUCAAGCGAUUCUCCUGCCUCAGCCUCCCGAGUAGCUGGGAUUACAGGCAUGCACCACCAUCCCCGGCUAAUUUUUGUAUUUUUAGUAGAGACGAGGGGGUCACCAUGUUGGCCAGGCUGGUCUCGAACUCCUGACCUCAAGUGAUCCGCCCGCCUCGGCCUCCCAAAGUGCUGGGAUUGCAGGCGUGAGCCACUGCGCCCGGCCCCAACAUGUUUUUCUAAUGCUUAAGGAAACCCGGAGAUAAUAUUCCCAUGUUUUGCCACUUAGUAAAGCAUUUUAUAUGCCUGUGUCAGCGAGCACAUAGCUGCAAGUGUAGCCCAUGGCCAGUCUGUCACUGUGUCCUUGGCAGAAAAAAAGAAUCCAACAAAUCGGUAGGUUUUUAUAUUUAAGACAUGGCACUUGCAUUUUAUUAUGCUGGCGUGCAUCCCCAGCAUUUGGAUAAGGGGCCAAGGUCAAGUCUCUCAGACUGUUGGCUGACAAACAUUAAACCUGGAAAUCCUAACAGAGUGUAUGAAAAACAAUUACAGUCAAGGGAACAUGAUAGAGAAAGCUUCGGUCAUCUUAGAGAAUGCAUAUAUUGCCAUGAAGAGAACAUUGGUUUAAAAAAAAAUGUUCAAGAGAAUGAAAAGACAAGUCACAGACUGGGAGAAAAUACUUGCAAAGUACAUAUCUGAUAAAGAACUGAUAUCCAAAAUAUAUAAGAACUCUUAAAACUCAACAAUAAGGAGACAAACCGAUUAAAAAAAUAGGCCAAAGACCCUAACAGAUGUCACCAAAGAAGAUAUGCAGAUGGAAAAUAAGCAUAUGAAAAGAUGCUCCACAUAUGUCCUCAGUGAAAUGCAAAUUAAAACAAUGGGAUGCCACUAUACACCUGUCAAAAUGGCCAAAAUCCAGAACCCUGACAAUACCAAAUGCUGACAAGGAUGUGGAGCACAGGAACUUUCAUUCAUUGCUGGUGGGAAUGCAAAAUAUUAGAGUUACGUUGGAGGACAGUUUGACAAUUUCUUACAAAACUAAACAUACUCUUACCAUAUGAUCUAGUAAUUGUGUUCCUUGGUAUUUAUGCAAAGGAGUUGAAAAUGUAUGUCCACACAAAACGUGCCCAAGAAUGUUUAUAGCAGCUUUGUUCAUGAUAGGCAAAACUUGGAAGCAGCCAGAUGUCCUUCAGUACAUGAAUGAAUACAUAAACUAUGGUACAUUCAGACAAUGGAACAUUCAGUAAGGAAAAGAAAUGAGCUAUCAAGCUACCAAAAAGGAAGAACAGAAGAAUAUUAAGUGCGUAUUGGGUCUGACAAAGCGUCCGAGGAAUGAAGGAGGAACUGGAGAGGAUUCGCGGUUGGGCGGAGACACGUUCGCUGAAUUGCCUUGCGUAUAUUUGGUAGGGGAAACGUGUGACUACAGAGCAAAGAAAGAUGGACAAUAGCGAGUAACUUCACAGGGAUUUCCUAAGAGCUCCAUUUUCACGUCAAUUCCUCGUUAGUAUAGUGGUGAGUAUCCCCGCCUGUCACGCGGGAGACCGGGGUUCGAUUCCCCGACGGGGAGGAGGCUUAAACUUUUUUUUAGAAAAGCACACUUCCGGUAAACACAGUCUCUAGUCUUCUGGGCAAAUGUUGGGUUCUCUUUUUCUUUAGCAGAGUUCUUUCAAACCAACGAAAUACUGAUCGCAAAAACCAUAAGCUGUAGAAAUCAUGAGGUUCUGUAAUAGCAAGAAAAUUUCCACUCUGCACUGUAAUCUCCAUCACAGUGGAGAAACCGGGUAGAUACCAUCUUACCCAAGUGAUUGAAUCAGUAUUGGGACGAAUCUACAUUAUAUACCUUUUUUACAGGAUGUGCUCAUGAGAGCACAACGUCACUUUUGUGGUAUUCUUGGCAAAAAUAUGUAAUCUAAAUCAGAAAACAUCAGACAAACCCAUAUUGAGGGAGAUUUUAACAAAAUAACUGACUUGUACGCCUCAAAAACUGCAAUUACUUUUGCAUCAACCUAGUAACAGGCAAGCAGGGAGGAAAAAUAAAUAAAUAAAUAAAUAAAUAAAUAAACAAAUAAAUAAAAUAACAAAGUUACAGAACACAAAGAAAGGCUGACUAAAUAGUCCACAUUAUAGAAGAUCUUAAAGAUAUGACAGCAACAUAUGGUCUGGAAUUUUUAUCUUAAAGGACAUUAUUGAAAUAGUUGGUGAAAUCUCAAUAAAGUCUAUAGAUUUUAUAAUAUUAUGAAUGUGAAUUCCUGAUUGUAUUAAUUGUUCUAUGGUUAUAGAACAAAAUGUCUUUAAGAAAAUUCACACCUAUUUACAAAAUACGUAUUUAAGGGUAAGGGGAGGUAUGUGUCUUCAAACUCACUGUCAAAUAGUUCAGAAAUAUACAUUUAUGUAUAUAUAUGAGAGAGAGAAGGAAAAGAAAAUAUAGGAAUAUCCUUAAUGUGCUAAUAUUGAGGGAAUUGGGGUGAAGGGUGCUCAGGAAUUAUCUGUAUUAUUCAUGUACUGUGUCUGUCAGUCUAAAAUAAUUUCAGAAUGGAAAGUUAAAAGGAGAAAAGCCUAAUAAAACUAUAAAUGAAAAUAUACGAAUUAAAAUGUAAAAGGGCAAAUAUACAAUUUUGAACAAUGCAUAUGACAAGAGUGACGACUACAUUAAUGAAUAGGAAUUUAGAACUGAUGAAGGAGUGGGAUUCAAAAUGUUAUAAGUGAGCAAGAAAAUUCAUAACAUGUGACAAAAGCUACAUAAAGAGUGAAUGCCUGAAACAACAUUGUUUCGUAAUGAUUACAUGUUGGAAUAUGAAAACAAAUGGUACUAAAUUUCAAAACAGCAACGACAAUAUAAAAUGGAAAGGUAUGGCGAAAUCCAAAUCAUUCUAAGCUCCUUUAUAAUAAGGUAGGAAUUAGAAGUGUACCUAGUAUAUACCCUCGACCAACGCUGAAUGGAUGAAUAUUAAAAGCAAUAUUUUUGUGAGCCAUAAUCAAAGCCAACAGCAUUGCUUCUUUAAUGAAAGAAUACUCUUCCAGCAUAUAACAAUAUGUCUGAUUUUGUUUUAAAAAUACUUAUUGGCCAGGCGAGGUGGCUCAUGCCUCUAAUCCAAGCACUUUGGGAGGCUGAGGCGGGUGGAUCACCUGAGGUCUGGAGUUCGAUACCAGCCUGGCCAACCUGCUGAAACCCCAUCUCUACUAAAAAUACAAAAAUUAGCUGGGUGUGGUGGCGGGCACCUGUAAUCCCAGCUACUCGGAGGCUGAGGCAGGAGAAUCACUUGAACCCGGGAGGCGGAGGUUGCAGUGAACCAAGAUUGCAGCAUUGCACUCCAGCCUGGGCGACAGAGCAAGACUCUGUCUCCAAAAAAAAAAAAAAGAAAAAUAAUUAUUAUUAACAUUUUUGUCAUGAAAUUUUGGCCAUCAAAUUUAAAAGUUAAUAUUAUUGUGCAACACUUUCAGCCAAUGGAUUCUUUUUUUCGUUAACACUAUUGAACAGUAGAGUGAUUGAUGCCUCAUCCUUUUCACCUAACAUUGAAUCUCGUUUGUCUCUAUUACUUCCUUUUAAUCUAUUAUUUCUUUUUUAAUCUAGAAGAAAAAUGAUUCAUCGUGGAUAAGAACUAUAAAGCAAUUGUUUUGUUUGUUUGUUUGUUUCUGGCUUUUUUUUUUUUUUGAGACAGAGUCUCGCUCUAUCGCCCAAGCUGCUGUGCAAUGGCGCAAUCUUGGCUCACCACAACCUCUGCCUCCUGAGUUCGAGCCAUUCUCCUGGCUCAGCCUCCCGAGUAGCUGGGAUUGCAGGCGUGUAUUUUGAGUAGAGACAGGGUUUCACCACGUUGGCCAGGCUGGUCUUGAACUCCUGACCUCGUGAUCUACCUGCCUCAGCCUCCCAAAAUGCUGGGAUUACAGGUGUGAGCCACCAAGCCCGACUUAAAGCAACUGUUUGAAGGCACUGAUAAGCUGUCAACCCAGGCAAGGCUUGACAAACUACAAUCCUUGAGAGAAGGGAAGCACAUUAUAUGAGUUUGCACAUUUGAAAGUGCUUUCCUCCUGAAGGUGUGUCCCGUAUUGCACCAUUGUGGAAUAGACCUCAUGUGGAAAGAGGCAGUUGUGCUGGACUAAGGAGAUACUGGUCAGAGUUUGGGGCUACCAACGUGCAUAGAACUUGAUGGUCAAAAUUCAAGUGAUGAGGGAACCACAGAGAAAGAUCUCAAAUUUGUAUUAUAAAUUCUCCUUAUAUUACUGGCUAAUUCCUAAGUUGUACCUACACAGGAAGAUGUUCCAGUACAGGAAAGAGCAACUGGAAGGCUAAUGAUCUGUAGAGAUCCAGUAGCUGCAUGGUUCUAGGGAGACAGAGGUUGAUGUUCAUGCCUCUCCCAGUUGGAGCCCCAUUGGUAAAAUGGCUGUUGUUUUGAGACUUCAGAAAUACUAACCCUUAGCACUAAGUGAUAAACCUUUAAAGUAAGGACCACAUAAAAGGAGUAAGGCUAUGCCUUCACAGCAAGGAAAAACUAAACUAGACAAAUUGUAACAAAGCUUCAGUCUUUGUUGUAUCCGGGAAAAACUACCAGAAGACUCUGAAUGUUUGGAAAUAAAGCAGUUUGUGUCCUACACUCUACAGGUCAAAGAAGAAAACACAAUAUAAAUUUUUAAAUGUUUUAAGCUGAAAGAUAAUGAAAAUAAGACGUAUCAUAAUUUGUCUAAUGCAUCUAAAGCUGUUUAUAGAGAACAAUUUUUACUUUUAACUACAUGUAUUACAACAAUAGAAAGAUUGAAAAUCCAUGAUCUAACUCAAGAGACUAUAAAAAGCCAGCAAUUUAAAUGCAAAAAGUACAAGGAGCUAUUAAAAAUAAGUGCAGAAAUCAAUAAAAUGGAAAGCAAACAUACAUCACAGAAAAUCAACAAAGUAAAAGUUUGGUUCUUUGAAAAGAUUGAUAAAACGAAUGUACCCUGAAUAAGACUGAUUUUAAAAAGAGGGUAAGAUAACACAUGAAUACUAGCAUUGGGAAUGAAACAGAUUAUAUGUAUGUGUGUGUGUGUAUGUGUAUAUAUAUAUAUAUAUAUAUAUAUAUAUACAUGCACACAUAUAUACACCCUAAAGAUAUUUUAAAAACAAGAAAGAGGUAUUAUAAAUGUGUUUAUGUCAAUAUAUGUGAAACAUUUGAUGAAAUAGAUAUAUUCCUUGAAAAACACAAUAUGGCCGGGUGCAGUGGAUCACGCCUGUAAUCCUAGCACUUUGGGAGACCGAGGCAGGUGGAUCACCUGAGGUCAGGAGUUUGAGACCAGCCUGGCCAACAUGGUGAAACCCUUUCUCUACUAAAAAUACAAAAAUUAGCCAGGCGUGGUGGCACAUGCCUGUGAUCCCAGCUACUCUGGAGGCUGAGGCACAAGAAUUGCUUGAACCCGGGAGGCGGAGGUUGCAGUGAGCCAAGAUCGCGCCACUGCACUCAAGCCUGGGCCACAGAGUGAGACUCCGUCUCAAAAAAAAAAAAAAAAGAAAGAAAGAAAGAAAAAAAGACAAACAAUAUGCCACAACUGACACCAAAAGCAAUAGGAAAUCUUUAUUGCCCUAUACUUAUUGGAAAAAUUAAAUCCAUAAUUUAAAGAGCCACUCAUAUACACUUCCAGGCGUAGGUAGAUUCACUUGUGAAUUCCCACAUACAAGUAAGAGAUAAAUAAUAUCAGUCUUUCAGAAAGCUAUUCAGAGAACUGAAAAAGAGAAAACAUUGUUCAGCUAAUUUAACUACACAGACAUAAUUCUGAUACCAAAACCCAGAAAGAGAGUACAAGAACAGAAUAUUACAAGCCAAUAUUUCUUUUAAACAUAGAC